rnacentral:tRNA from 1 species
GCCCUUGUGGCCUAAUGGAGAAGGCGUCGGUCUCCUAUUUUGUGUAGUCAACCGACGAUCCGGGUUCGAGUCCCGGCAGGGGUA